AGGGCCUAGAAAGCAAAGGACAGCAUUCAGUGAUUGCCUUGAUGGAAAGUUGCUUUCACUAUUUAAGGUCUUUACAGCAUAUCAUCAUUAUAUCACCUUGAGGUCUGUCAGACAUGUAUUCAGGGGGAGAUAAGCACCUGCUUCUUCUUGUCCCUUCCCCCAGUUGACUUGCAGCAACUGAAUUCCCCUUUGGAUUUUUGUUUGCCUGCUGCAUUUCUGUGCAUCUGGGUCCAGGUCUGGAACCUGAUGCAGAAGUUUCCAUUGAGGAAUCACAUGCCCACAAGAAGCAGACCUGAAUGUCCAUAAGGCUGCCAUGAGUUGAGGAUUGAGAGAACUUUCUAGGCAAGUUCUGGAGGCAGCUCCACAACUGCCAUUCCACAUCUGGUUUUGCAGAAUUUAAGACAUGCAUUACCGUGACCAGAUUUGUUAUCUCCAACAAUAAGCAAAGCUGGUGCAUUGCCAUUUUCUGGCUCAAAACUACAGCUGUCAUUUGGGCAUUCAGAAAAUGCUUGAUUAAGAAACAUCUUCAGAUGGUCUUUGGGGUUCAUGGACAAAGAUUGUCAGCACUUAAAGAUCGCUUUUAAUGAUGAAAGUUUGGAAAUGUUUUUACAGCAUAAUAACUAAAUAAACAGUUUUGUUUGAUUCUAUGCUCAUGCCAGCAUUUCCAAAUCUAUUAUGUUUGAUUUUGGAUAACUAGGGCUUAUGGGAAUUGAAGUCCAACCCAUCAGGAGGCAAUUCAUAGCAGAUUAGAGAAACCUACUUGUCCAGCCUAGUUUCUGACUUCUUUCUGACUCACUCACAAGUCAUUUCAGUCCACUUUUCCAGCUUCCUGUAGAAGUUUGUUAUUGUUUUCAGGCCUUUUCCUUUGUUUGGAAAUUAUUUCGGGUAAAAUGAUCAAUCUGGGAUGAAUCUCGUAACAAGCUUCCCACCACAUCUCAGAAUCUAAAUGGAGACAAGCUUUUCCCAGAGUUUCUUUCCAUUGUUGCAGGGAGGACUGGAGGAAAGAGGUGAAGGAAGGGAGGGGGCUGCAUGGGUGAAGCAGCUGAUCAAAGCCAUGAGAUGUGGCCUAAUGAGUCACUGUCUGAGAAAGCCCUGGGCGAAAGCUGAGGCAGAAGGGAAAAGGGGCCACGUGGCCUUUGUAGGGCUGAAUUUGACUUCACAGACGAGAAGGAAAACAUCCUGAUUUCACCCGCGUCUCUGUUUUUGCAUACUUUGCCAGCCCGUUCUGUUGUGUGUGUUGCGGGUGUGUGUGAAGGACAGUGCUGAGUAUUUCUAUGCCUCCGUUAUCUAAAUUCUUGAGGUCUGUUGGACAUGUAUUAAGGGGGAGAUAAGCACCUGCUUCUUCCUGUCCCUUCCCCCAGUUGACUUGCAGCAACUGAAUUCCCCUAAUGGAAGGCAUGAUGGGGAAGGAUGGCUGGUAAAUGAGUCAGACCCAAUCGAUGUGCCAGUGAGUCACCAGCUGGGUGGGUAACAGCAACAGGAUUCCCGCUCUGCACAUACAAAGGCUCUUUGAUACUGCUUGCACAAGGUCACUGCCUCCCUUCUUGUCUCACAGCACUCCUCCCUCCUCAUCACUUCUUGACUGCCCCAUUCUUGCUGUUGGAGCCACCAAACUAGCAGAAUGCUGGCAAUCACAGCUGCCACAAAGGACUCAGGACAAGCAGAUUUCCAAGAAAGUGGUGUUUUCCUGUCUGCACCUUCCAUCUCAGAGGAACCCUGUUUCAGAGCAGACCCUGUUUUAUUUCACAUCAAGGUAUGAUCUCAGAGAACACAAACGAAGUGAAACCUUGCCAUCAGUAUAGGACUGGGAGACUAAAACUGAAGAAUAUGCAAGAAUGGAAAAACGGACGCUAUACAUUCAUAGCAGAAGUCUAACCAAAUUCAGUCGGGAAUGGUUCCCUGAUAUACAACAUAUCACACAGCAAGGCACGCUAAGACACUUAGAAUAUGUUUUUUGGAGAAUAAGAGAAAUUGUUUAAAAACUGACAAUAACAACAACAACUAAAAUGAUCCAAACAGAAAUGAGUAAUAAUAUCUAAAGUAAAGUGUAAAAAUAUUCAGGUAGCAAAUAAUGGUUGGGGGAGAAAGAAAGAGGGGGAAAGAAAGAGGAGGGGGGCUGCUAGAAUGCCAGAAUGCCCUUUUAAUAAUACUGUAUUUUUAAAUUUUGUUUGUUUGUUUUGCUUUUUAUCCAAUUACUGAAGGACUUUGAAUAAAUUGUGCUUGGAUAGUUGCAAAAAAAUUGUUAAGCUUCUAAAUGUUGCUUCAAUGAAAUUCGUCAAG